rnacentral:rRNA from 1 species
UUCCUACGGGGGGCAGCAGUGAGGAAUAUUGGUCAAUGGGCGGGAGCCUGAACCAGCCAAGCCGCGUGAAGGAAGAAGGCGCCAGGCGUCGUAAACUUCUUUUGUCGGGGAACAAAGGGCGCCACGCGUGGCGUUGUGAGUGUACCCGAAGAAAAAGCAUCGGCUAACUCCGUGCCAGCAGCCGCGGUAAUACGGAGGAUGCGAGCGUUAUCCGGAUUUAUUGGGUUUAAAGGGAGCGUAGAUGGGUUGUUAAGUCAGUUGUGAAAGUUUGCGGCUCAACCGUAAAAUUGCAAUUGAUACUGGCG